rnacentral:rRNA from 1 species
GACGAACGCUGGCGGCGUGCUUAACACAUGCAAGUCGAACGGAAAGGCCCUGCUUUUGUGGGGUGCUCGAGUGGCGAACGGGUGAGUAACACGUGAGUAACCUGCCCUUGACUUUGGGAUAACUUCAGGAAACUGGGGCUAAUACCGGAUAGGAGCUCCUGCUGCAUGGUGGGGGUUGGAAAGUUUCGGCGGUUGGGGAUGGACUCGCGGCUUAUCAGCUUGUUGGUGGGGUAGUGGCUUACCAAGGCUUUGACGGGUAGCCGGCCUGAGAGGGUGACCGGCCACAUUGGGACUGGGAUACGGCCCAGACUCCUACGGGAGGCAGGAGGGGGGAAUAUUGGAACAUGGGCGGAAGCCUGAUGCAGCAACGCCGCGGGCGGGAUGACGGCCUUUGGGUUUUAAACCGCUUUCGCCUGUGACGAAGCGUGAGGGACGGUAAUGGGUAAAGAAGCACCGGCUAACUACGUG